rnacentral:misc_RNA from 1 species
AACGCACCUUGCACCCUCUGGUAUUCCGGAGGGUAUGCCCGGUUGAGUGUCUUGAAUAUCUCAAGCCAAAAGGGAUUUUCCCUUUGAAGCCUUGGACUUUGAAUGUUCUGCCGAGUGUAAAAACGCGGCUCAUUCGAAAUGUAUUAGCGAAAGGUCUUUGCUAGGACAGUUUCCUUCAAUGUGAUAAGGUCAUCAUUGUUUGGAGUCUGGUUACUACAAAGGAUUCUUUGCUUCUAAUCGUCAAUUUUUUGACAAACUUUUUGAAUAUUUCACCUCAACUCGGGUAGGACUACCCGCUGAACUUAA